rnacentral:snRNA from 1 species
AUCACUUCUCGACCUUUUGGCUAAGAUCAAGUGAAGUACCUGUUCUUAUCAGUUUAACAUUACCUGUUGAAUAUGCCUAUUUUUCUUAGGUAAACUAUCUUGAGUUUAUAUGAAUAUUU